rnacentral:rRNA from 1 species
UACGGGGGGAGCAAGCGUUGUUCGGAUUUACUGGGCGUAAAGGGCGCGUAGGCGGUCAGCACAAGUCAGUUGUGAAAUCUCCGGGCUUAACUCGGAAAGGUCAACUGAUACUGUGCGACUAGAGUGCGGAAGGGGCAACUGGAAUUCUCGGUGUAGCGGUGAAAUGCGUAGAUAUCGAGAGGAACACCUGCGGCGAAGGCGGGUUGCUGGGCCGACACUGACGCUGAUGCGCGAAAGCUAGGGGAGCGAACGGG